rnacentral:rRNA from 1 species
AUUGAACGCUGGCGGCAGGCCUAACACAUGCAAGUCGAACGAGUGGCGGACGGGUGAGUAAUGUCUGGGAAACUGCCCGAUGGAGGGGGCUAACUACUGGAAACGGUAGCUAAUACCGCAUACCAUCGGAUGUGCCCAGAUGGGAUUAGCUAGUAGGUGGGGUAACGGCUCACCUAGGCGACGUACCCUAGCUGGUCUUUGAGGAUGCCGAGCCACACGGGAACUGAGACCCGGUCCAGACUCCUACGGGAGGCAGCAGUGGGGAAUAGUGCACAAGGGGCGCGAGACUGAUGCAGCCAGGCCGCGUGUAUGAAGAAGGCCUUCGGGUUGUAAAGUACUUUCAGCGAGGAGGCGUGACUCGCAGAAGAAGCACCGGCUAACUCCGUGCCAGCAGCCGCGGUAAUAC